rnacentral:rRNA from 1 species
CUGAGAGGAUGACCAGCCACACUGGAACUGAGACACGGUCCAGACUCCUACGGGAGGCAGCAGUGGGGAAUAUUGCACAAUGGGCGCAAGCCUGAUGCAGCCAUGCCGCGUGUAUGAAGAAGGCCUUCGGGUUGUAAAGUACUUUCAGCGGGGAGGAAGGGAGUAAAGUUAAUACCUUUGCUCAUUGACGUUACCCGCAGAAGAAGCACCGGCUAACUCCGUGCCAGCAGCCGCGGUAAUACGGAGGGUGCAAGCGUUAAUCGGAAUUACUGGGCGUAAAGCGCACGCAGGCGGUUUGUUAAGUCAGAUGUGAAAUCCCCGGGCUCAACCUGGGAACUGCAUCUGAUACUGGCAAGCUUGAGUCUCGUAGAGGGGGGUAGAAUUCCAGGUGUAGCGGUGAAAUGCGUAGAGAUCUGGAGGAAUAUCGGUGGCGAAGGCGGCCCCCU